GAAUUCAACUCCUACGGGAGGCAGCAGUGGGGAAUUUUGGACAAUGGGCGCAAGCCUGAUCCAGCCAUGCCGCGUGCGGGAAGAAGGCCUUCGGGUUGUAAACCGCUUUUGUCAGGGAAGAAACGGCUCGGGCUAAUACCUCGGGCUAAUGACGGUACCUGAAGAAUAAGCACCGGCUAACUACGUGCCAGCAGCCGCGGUAAUACGUAGGGUGCAAGCGUUAAUCGGAAUUACUGGGCGUAAAGCGUGCGCAGGCGGUCAUGCAAGACAGAUGUGAAAUCCCCGGGCUCAACCUGGGAACUGCAUUUGUGACUGCAUGACUUGAGUACGGUAGAGGGGGAUGGAAUUCCGCGUGUAGCAGUGAAAUGCGUAGAUAUGCGGAGGAACACCGAUGGCGAAGGCAAUCCCCUGGACCUGUACUGACGCUCAUGCACGAAAGCGUGGGGAGCAAACAGGAUUAGAAACCCUAGUAGUCCAGGCGUU
rnacentral:rRNA from 1 species